UAACGCAAGCGUAUCAAACAAAACUGCAGCGAACAAGAGUGCAUUCAAGUAUGCGAUUGACAGAUGCUCGAAUCUACGAUACAUUAUAUUUGGAAGAGAUGAAUCGUGUUUGAUAUUUCCACAUUUUUCUAUGAAGGAUAACCUUUUGUUCCUAUUAUCCUUCACGUAUCACGUGAAAAUUAAAUAUCGAUAUUUGGACGCUUAUAUCAGUUAGAUGACGGCGAUACGCCGUGUGUUAACAGGUCAUGGGGGCCUGUUUCGGCCGCUGUAUUUCCAAAGUUACAGACUCCUUGUCAUACAGGUUUUAUCAAAGACAUACCAGUAUGUCCUACCAAGGAGACGAACAAGUUGAGUUUAUAGAUGACAAAGGAGGUACAGAUCAAUCUAGAGGAUCAAAAACCCUAUUAUCGUUUCUCUCCUUAAACCGAUUUAAGAAAAAAAAUGGAAUCCCUGUAACAUUGGAAUUAUUAGAAGAUGGAGCAUGGUCAAAGGGUAAAACUAAUAAAUAUGCCAGAUUAAACUCUAGGAAUGAUGCUUCUACAAGUUCUGGAUUGGAUACACCAUUACAAAUUCUUGAUGCAAGAACAUUAAUGAAACAACAAGCAUGUGUUUCUUCUACUCCUGGUUCAUCAUUAGAUCUGGAAUGGGAACAUGAAGGAAUGCCUUUGCCAAUUAUGGAUGAUGAAAAAGUUGAAAGUACAGAUGGUUCUAUGACACAAACAUCAGUCAAUAAUAGUCAACCCUCUAGUUUGACAGCAUCUCCUUGGUCUAGAGUAUCAACACCAAAUAGUUUAGAAUGGGAUCCGGUAGAAGCGGAUAUGAAUAAACUAGAAUGGAAAAGAAAUGUGGCAACCGAGGGAAACGUGAUUAUCGUGCGAGCAGAAAAUGGAUAAAGUCGAGUUUUAGUUUAAAAGAGGACAAGCGGAUUUUUGGUUACAUAAUCCUGAAUCACCAUUAUCGUGUCACCCUCGUCGUAACGCAGCUGAAAUGACCAUCACAAUAUCGAACAGCAGUAACAGAUAAUAUACACAUUAUGUAUAUUAACUUUACCAAUAGAUCUUCGAUUUUUAUUUUAUUUUCAUCUUCACUUGAUCGUAAUCCUUGCACGCCGCUAUCUAUGUUUGGCUGCCGGAAGUGGUCUUACUCUAUCAUACUUUCCGUUCUCCUAAUAUCUACGGACUUUUUUGUAAAUCCAACGUGACUUUCCAUUGCGUGACAAUGAGAGCUUUUCGUCGCGGUAUCCGCCCAUCUUCUCAUUCACUUUUUCAUCGAUCCCUAAAGAGAGGAGGUAGAAAAAACAGCGAAAACGACGAGAAAGAUCCGCGACUCGAUCGCGAAACCUUAUUUAUUACUAGAAAUAUUACAUGAUAAGGAGAGCGUGGCACAGUUUUGACGCUACAAUUGUUCACAGGGCUGGCCACGAUCGAAGAAAAUGGGGACGCGACGAAAAGCGCGGGAACCGCUUCAACGAAUGAAGGAGGAAGGAAUCGGGGAGUCAUAAACACUGGAAAAAUGUUUAAAAGAACUAAAUAGCACAACUAGCAACAGGAAGCAAUUAAUUUAAAAAGCGAAAUGAGAAAACAUUAAAAUCAUAUUUUUGCGAUACACGGAUUCUUAAAAAACAGCAAAUUUUAAAAAGAAAGAAGUCGAUACACAGCUAUAAUUAUAUUAACGAGGGGUAAGUGGUCUUCGCGCGAAGAGGCCGCAAGAAUCAUAAAGGAAUUAUAGUUUGGCACUGAUACCCGUCAGCUUGAACUUAACACGUUCGCACAGCUGGAGAGAACCAGCAUUGGGAAGUCACGUAUUCCUAUUCGAUCCUAUUGCUGAUGGACUUUAUGGCACAUCGAAUAUCUUCCUUAAAAUCCUUUGAUUCCAUUUCGAAACUAUGGCCUUGGUCUCUUUGCCUUAUGCAUCCAGCAUACCUUCGAUAAAAAGAAAGGAAAA